UUUGCGGUAUCCCUGACCGUGCUAAGGUAGCGUAAUAAAUCGCCCUUUAAUUGUGGGCUUGUAUGAAAGGACACACGAAGACCUUACUGUCUCCUAAAUAAAAAUAAAAAUUAGUCUUCAGGUGAAGAAACCUGAAUCAUUUAAAAGGACAAAAAGACCCCGUAGAGCUCUGUAAAUCUUACAUACCUCAUACUUUAUAUUUAAAGCACAAAUACCAAAACAUUUACUUAGCUGGGGCGGCUAAGGAAUAUUUAUCUUCCAUUUCCAUAGACCUUAAUUCUUAGCACCCACAGGCCAUUCUAGCCAUAAACCUUAAAUUGAUCCUUCAAAAGAUCAUAAAACAAGCUACCUCGGGGCUAACAGAUUUAUCCUCUUCGAGAGUACAUAUCGACAAGAGGGCUUGACACCUCGAUGUUGGCUUAGAGUACCCAGGGAGUCAGCAACAGCCCCCAACGGUUGGUUUGUUCAACCAUUAAAACUCUACAUGAUCUGAGUU
rnacentral:rRNA from 1 species